GAGCUGCUUCCUGUUUUGAGAAGAAGACAGAAGUGAGACUGACGAGGAAUUCCUGCCCAUUUCCCAGGCCACUCCUCCUCAGCCUUAUCUGUAAAUGCUUUCCCUUUCUGCCUGUUUACAAGUACAAUCCUGUGGCAGAUCGUACUACUGGCUGACAGGAUGAUCUGCUGACUGCUCCAGUGUUGGUCCCAGUCCACAGCUUCUCAUCAUCUGGAACAUCUGCAUGUGGAGGAGCCUCUUUGUACUGCCAUGUCCUGCAGCUUUCUUAUGGGAAUACUUUCUUGGUGCUUGCUUGUGGGGGAAUGUUGGGUUCUCUGUAUUGCAAAACUUAAUUUCUAAUCGGAAAGUGUCAUGAGAUAACUUUUGUUGUGAAUUGGUGCAAUAUAAAUAAACUGAAUUAAUCCAUUGUA